UACAGAGGUCUCAAGCGUUGUUCGGAUUCAUUGGGCGUAAAGGGUGCGUAGGUGGCGCGGUAAGUCGGGUGUGAAAUUUCGGAGCUUAACUCCGAAACUGCAUUCGAUACUGCCGUGCUUGAGGACUGGAGAGGAGACUGGAAUUUACGGUGUAGCAGUGAAAUGCGUAGAGAUCGUAAGGAAGACCAGUGGCGAAGGCGGGUCUCUGGACAGUUCCUGACACUGAGGCACGAAGGCCCAGGGGGAGCAAAACGGGG
rnacentral:rRNA from 1 species